rnacentral:rRNA from 1 species
UACAGGGGGGGCAAGCGUUGUUCGGAAUUACUGGGCGUAAAGGGCUCGUAGGUGGCCAACUAAGUCAGACGUGAAAUCCCUCAGCUUAACUGGGGAACUGCGUCUGAUACUGGAUGGCUUGAGUUUGGGAGAGGGAUGCGGAAUUCCAGGUGUAGCGGUGAAAUGCGUAGAUAUCUGGAGGAACACCGAUGGCGAAGGCAGGUCACUGGGCCGCAACUGACGCUGAGGAGCGAAAGCAUGGGGAGCGAACAGG